GUGGGGAAUAUUGCACAAUGGAGGAAACUCUGAUGCAGCGACGUCGCGUGAAGGAUGAAGUAUUUCGGUAUGUAAACUUCUAUCAGCAGGGAAGAAAAUGACGGUACCUGACUAAGAAGCCCCGGCUAACUACGUGCCAGCAGCCGCGGUAAUACGUAGGGGGCAAGCGUUAUCCGGAUUUACUGGGUGUAAAGGGAGCGUAGACGGCACGGCAAGCCAGAUGUGAAAGCCCGGGGCUCAACCCCGGGACUGCAUUUGGAACUGCUGAGCUAGAGUGUCGGAGAGGCAAGUGGAAUUCCUAGUGUAGCGGUGAAAUGCGUAGAUAUUAGGAGGAACACCAGUGGCGAAGGCGGCUUGCUGGACGAUGACUGACGUUGAGGCUCGAAAGCGUGGGGAGCAAACAGGAUUAGAAACCCCGGUAGUCC
rnacentral:rRNA from 1 species